CUAGGCGGCAUCCACAGUUCGAAACCAACCUCCAGUCAGUGUAGACGCGGCAGCUUUUGAGGGCGGUUACACGCGCUCCCCCUUACGUGACCACGCUUGCUGCCUUACUCGGUGGUUUCUUAGACCCAUAAACCCCGCCCCGUCAAGUUGGUAGUCCUAGUGAGGGUUCCAUGGCGGGGAUGCGUGGGCCAGAAGGGUUUAAAGGGCCUGGCUGGUGGCUGACUGGCUGGCAAUCUGCUGUUCUGUGUUGGCUAAGUCCCGUCCGCCGGAAUGUUGUGUGAUCCAUUGCUUUAGUUCCUUCAUUGCAGUGUUCUGGGUGUGAGGCGUUGUGUGUGUGUGUUUGUGUGUGUGUGUGUGUAGAGCUGACCUUACCUUACCCCCACCUUACCUAACCUAACCUUGCCUACAGUACCUUACCAUACCUUACCUUACUUUACCUAACCCUACCUAACCUAACCUUGCCUACAGUACCUUACCAUAUCUUACCUUACUUUACCUAACCCUACCUUUCCUUACCUUCCCAUACUACAUUACCUUACUUUACCUUCCCAUACCACCUUACUUUACCUAACCCUACCUUUCCUCACCUUCCCAUAUGGUACUGUACCUUACCAUACUUUACCUUCCCUUGCCUCCCUUCCUUUACAUUACCUUACGACACCUUACCUUGCCUUACUUCACUUAACUUACCGCACUUUAUUUUACCUCGCCUUACCUUACCUUGCUUCUUAUUUUUUCUUACUUUACCAUACCAUUCCUUACUUUCCCAUACCUUACCUCACCUUACCUUGCCUUACCAUACCUUACCUUACCGUGCCUGGCUUCCUGUUACAUUAGUUUUGCUUGGAUUCAUGUUCUAAUUGUUGCUUCCGAUUUUUGUAAGCUACCAAGGUGAAUGUCAUUGUGUAAUACAUAAAGUAGAUUUUGAUGAAGUUUAAGACCGGGAAAGUGGUAAGAGACAGUUUUAAGUGCAGACUCUUACCACUGCUAUCAGCUAAUUGUAACUAAUGGGAAACUAAUGGAAGCUCAAGUAGUCCUAAUUUUAAUGGGUUAAGAGAUACGACCAUUUUGAGGCUGGUAAAAUAAUGGAAGAGGCACUGAACACAGACUCUUGCCUAACUGAUGGAAAACUAAUGGAAGCUUAAGUAGUCAUAAUUUUAAUGGGUUUCAAGAGAUAUGACCAUUUUGAGAUUAGCUAAUGGAAGAGACACGUUGUAUGAGCACCGACUCCUGCCUUUUGGAAAUCCCUAAUGGUCCAGACACCCAUUUCGAGCACUGACUUUCUUGCCCAGCUACAGCGUUUACCCCCCCUUUGACUCCCUUGCCCCUUCACCCUCACUCACUAAUGGACGACAAGCACUAAUGGAAGAAGCCCAAAUGGUAAGCCCUCCUAGUGGUCAACACACGCCUACCUCUCCCAACCACCCCCCUUCCCCGCCCCAUCCACACACACACACUGCUUUGUCGCCUCAACCUUAGAAUGCUGCAAUGUUCGAUGUAUUUUUGUGCUUUAGAAAACUACUGGCAUGUGCUGGAUGACUGUUAUAAGCUGUCAGGUGUUGCUGCUGCCCCCACGCCCACCCACGCCCGCCCACGCCCUCUGCCAAAGCCUGCGGGAAUCAUGGCGCAAGAACAGGGUGGGAGAGAUCUCUAUGGGGUUACCUCGCCCUGCCUCGCCCUCCCCUGCCACUCCACCCUUCUCCUACGGCCCCCAUAGCCCUAGGAAGUGACCACAGCCUAUGGGAAGCCGGGUUUAUAUGGGGGAAUCCCUGCCACGCCCACGGCUGAGGAGAUGUCAAGAUAUCCCCCCAAGGAACGGAGCUACAGCGGCUUAUGUUAGACUCUCAUCUCGGCGCCAAGAGGAUGUUGGAGGAUGCUGAGAUGGCGGGCGAGAACAGAAAGAGAGGAAGAGACGAUUGCGAACGAAACAGCUGACACAACCAUCUUUCUGUGUCACCAACAGCAACAACAACGUCACCACCAACAACAACAACAACAACAACAACGUCACCACCACAACCACCACCACAACCACCACCACCACCAACAACAACAACAAUGUCACCACCACAACCACCACCACCACCAACAACAACAACGUCACCACCACCACCACCAACAACAACAACAACAACGUCACCACCAAUAACAACACGAAGAUGAAAGAAAACACCAAAUAUUAAAGAAAAAUUAUUAGUUAGUGGUGUCUUCACUGAAUCAGCAAGAUGGAUGAAGAACGCUCAGGGCAGUUUCACGGUGGAUGCAAUGCUAAGUACACCGCAGACAUCCAUCCAUGAGGCUCAAGCGUCUGUCUCUGGGUCUGGUGAUGCAGGCGGUCAGAACUACACCAGGGAAGCACGAGACAAGGAACAUAGAAACAAGCACCACCAUGAACGACCACCUGCACUAGUAAGGAAUGGACCAGCCAGCAGUGCCCCCUCAAGACAGCAAGUCCACAUACCCGCCCAGGACUCGAUAAUGAGGUAACACAUGGUAAAGGUAGUGACGGGUGGUAGUAUUCCGAGUGGUAAUGGUAAGUGUGUAGAACUUGUAAUAGUGAAUGUGAAAGGUAUUAAAAAGUUGAUAGUGAAGUAAAGGUAUUGAAAGGGAUGGUGGUAAUAGUCAGGGUAGGAAAGGUAAGUGUAUGGCACUUAAAGCAGGGAAUGUAGAGGGUAUUAACAAAUCAGUAAUGAGGUAGUACAUGGUAAAGGCAGUCAAAGGGGUUGUGGUAGUAUUGAGGGUAGUGAAGGUAUAUGUACAGUGUAUGGGUAUAGUGUAUGGGGGAUGUAGAGGGUAAUAGCCAAUCAACGCACACCACUCCCAUCAGUACCCACAUCGGCAAUAUGAGAGGUGUCCAUUUUUUUCUAGUUUCCGCUAAGACAGGUAGCCAACGCAUCCCAGGGAAAACAAGAUCGAAGUUGAAAGGGAAAAGUGACCCACGGUACUCCACAUACAAGGUCACUUUUCCCUCGCAGCUUGUUUCUUGUUCUUCCUGCGCUGUGUUGCCUGUCCUUCCUCCUGCAAACUGGAACAAAAUGGCUUUAUCCCUUACGCCUUUUCUCCUUUGGACACCUCAUAAGAUACUCAAGAAAGUGACCCAAGUAUUGAAACAAAGUGGUCAAAAUUAAGAAUGAUGUAUCAGUCUUUACCUUUGCUAGAGUUAAUUUUUGAGUCUCCGUGUUUCAAGAGUAGGUUAUCUCCUUGAAGUGAGAACUAUGUAGUCCAUUUCAGCGACUGAAUAGAGAAGAUGAAAUGGUUAUAUACAAAACAGACUAAGAAAGGAGGAAUUGAACAGAAACUGAUUGAUGGCAAGGAGUGAAGACGGUUAGCGAGGAACAGUGACUUAUAUAAAAAUGGGAUUGAGCUAGUGAGAUGAAGAGUGAGAAGAGUCUAAUCUGUGACAGAAGUGAUUCAAAAGACUAAAUGUUUGAUAGCAAGUAGUGGAAACAGUUAGCAAGGUACAGCAGCCAGAUAUAAAAACAGGAUAAAGUUAGUGAGAUGAUAAGAAAAGUUUACACAUCAAACAAUCAAAGCGAGAAAGAAGUGGAGACAAAAUAUUUGACCGCAAGGAGAGGAGACAGUUAGGAAGGAACAGCAACCACAUAUAUAUACAGGAUUAAAUGAGUGAGAUGGAAAGAAAGUAGAGUCUGCACAUCAAACAAUAUAAGAGAGACGGGAUUGAAAAGAGACUAUAUAUUUGGCUAACUGAUUGCAAGAAAUGGAGAUGGUUUGGGAGGAUCAGCGACCACAUAUGAAAAUUGAAUUAAGCUAGUGAAAGUAAUUAACCCGGUAGCAGCGACGGGCCAAAUGUGUGGCUUAACCGUGUAGCACUGACGGGCCAAAUGUGUGGCUUUACCGUGUAGCAGCGACGGGCCAAAUUUGUGGCUUUACCAUGUAGCAGCGACGGGCCAAAUUUGUGGCUUUACCAUGUAGCAGCGACGGGCCAAAUUUGUGGCUUUACCAUGUAGCAGCGACGGGCCAAAUUUGUGGCUUUACCAUGUAGCAGUGACGGGCCAAAUUUGUGCCAUGAUUUAAACCCCCAAAAAUAGAUGAUACAUAAACUGAUCACAAAUGCUUCGAUAUAUAUCAUGAAAUGGUUUGUGCGAGUGAUUUUUCCUCAUUUUUCUCGCUUAAAGGGACCAUUAAGAAACAUGAUCCCCGCUGCUACUGGGUUAAAGGAAGCCAUAAUGAGCAGGUUACAGGUAUAGGAGCAGCCCUGUAGCCAUAAGGUAAGCACUGUAUUUUGAGACCUUCUGGAGAGUAGUCGGCAAAAAAGAGCCGAACUCCCAUGGGUCGGCUUAAUAGAAUUUGACCAAAAUCUAGACAUGGUGUUGCAUUGGUUAAGUGGGUACCAGCGCCUAGUCUAUCAUUGCAACCCGCUUAACCGACACAACACCAUGUCCAUAGAUUUCCCUCAAUUUACAUUCAAUCAACUCACGGGUGUUCGAUAACUUUUUUGGCUGACUGUACUGUAAUAGGAAUGGUGCAUGUAUAUUGGCCACAUACCUUUGUAGUUGUAGAUGAGAGUAAUAAAAGGAAGAAGCCUCCAAUAAUCUUUUAAAUCCCUCUAAUGUAUCAGUAUUCCUAUCCUUAGUUAACUUGUAAUUAUAUGACCAAUAAAACUGACUUAUCAAAAGUUUAUUCCUUACAUUCAAACCACAGUGCUACUUAAGGAUUCUGUCUAAUGGUAAAUCUUAAGUUUAUAAUAUUCUGUGACUUUAGGGUCAAGAAUGUCUCCAUGCUCUGAUGUGUGCUUAAAGUGGAGACUAGAAGGGAGCUACUGAGAUGUAUAAGAGAAUGCUCAUUAGGUAAAUCAUAAGGACUUAUAAUUUUACUUUCCAUACCAUUUUUUCAAGAAAUUGGGUGACCAAUGAGUAGCUGUAGUAUCAUAUAAUUACAAUUUUGACAUUUAGGAUUAGUAGUAACAGUAGUAGUAGAAGCAUAAGUAGUAA